rnacentral:rRNA from 1 species
UACAGAGGAGCCAAGCGUUGUCCGGAUUGACUGGGCGUAAAGCGCACGCAGGCGGUUUGGCGCGUGGGGUGUGAAAUCUGGCCGCUUAACCGCCAGGCGCCAUCCCAUACGGCUAGACUGGAGUGAUGCAGAGGUCGGUGGAAUUGCCGGUGUAGUGGUGAAAUGCGUAGAUAUCGUAAGGAAGACCAGUGGCGAAGGCGGGUCUCUGGACAGUUCCUGACGCUGAGGCACGAAGGUCAGGGGAGCAAACGGG